rnacentral:rRNA from 1 species
GACGAACGCUGGCGGCGUGCCUAAUACAUGCAAGUAGAACGCUGAAGGAGGAGCUUGCUUCUCCGGAUGAGUUGCGAACGGGUGAGUAACGCGUAGGUAACCUGCCUGGUAGCGGGGGAUAACUAUUGGAAACGAUAGCUAAUACCGCAUAAGAGUAGAUGUUGCAUGACAUUUGCUUAAAAGUUGCAAUUGCAUCACUACCAGAUGGACCUGCGUUGUAUUAGCUUGUUGGUGAGGUAACGGCUCACCAAGGCGACGAUACAUAGCCGACCUGAGAGGGUGAUCGGCCACACUGGGACUGAGACACGGCCCAGACUCCUACGGGAGGCAGCAGUAGGGAAUCUUCGGCAAUGGACGGAAGUCUGACCGAGCAACGCCGCGUGAGUGAAGAAGGUUUUCGGAUCGUAAAGCUCUGUUGUAGGAGAAGAACGAGUGUGAGAGUGGAAAGUUCACACUGUGACGGUAUCUUACCAGAAAGGGACGGCUAACUACGUG